GACCUGGCGGAGGCUACCAUGCAUUCGAGCGCGCCUUCGGGUGAGCGGCGGACGGGUUAGUAACGCGUGGGAACGUGCCCUUCUCUACGGAAUAGCCUCUGGAAACGGAGAGUAAUACCGUAUACGCCCUUUGGGGGAAAGAUUUAUCGGAGAAGGAUCGGCCCGCGUUAGAUUAGGUAGUUGGUGGGGUAACGGCCUACCAAGCCUACGAUCUAUAGCUGGUUUUAGAGGAUGAUCAGCAACACUGGGACUGAGACACGGCCCAGACUCCUACGGGAGGCAGCAGUGGGGAAUCUUAGACAAUGGGGGCAAACCUGAUCUAGCCAUGCCGCGUGAGUGAUGAAGGCCUUAGGGUCGUAAAGCUCUUUCGCCUGUGAUGAUAAUGAGCAGUAGCAGGUAAAGAAACCCCGGCUAACUCCGUGCCAGCAGCCGCGGUAAUACGGAGGGGGUUAGCGUAGUUCGGAAUUACUGGGCGUAAA
rnacentral:rRNA from 1 species